rnacentral:rRNA from 1 species
AGCCGGAGUGUUGCCCAUCAAGUGCCGCGUUGGACGAGGAGGCGGACGGGCGGUCAGAGGACGGGGAGGCGGGCUCGGACGCCGGGGCCGGCGGCGGGACGGGCCCCACGCUCAAGGAAGGCAGCGG